rnacentral:lncRNA from 1 species
UGAGUAUCUCUCUCUCGUUUUGAUUUUGAAUGUGUAAUUGGAAAUGAAUGAUUGCUCAACUUUCUUAAGUUUCAUGUUAGGGUUUAUAUGUUUGCUUAGAGAGCAUGGAUGGAUGUUUUAUUUUUCUUUUUUUUUUUUUUAAAGAAUGAAUAAUGACGGUUUAUCUUUCUAUAUGGUCUGUUACAUCUUUGAUUGGAUGUGCCAAACCAAUGAGACUGGUGAUUUUGUGUUUAAAUUAGAAAUUUAUGCCCGCUUUUACCUUUACCCGUGUUGGUUACAUUUUCUUCUAUCCUGCAAUACCACACCAAUGUUUCUCCUGUUUUCAUUUUCGGACUUGUGGGUGAAAUCUUAAUGAGAUGACGGUGUCGCUGAAUUCUGUGACUAAAUGGAUGGAUUGUCUGCAGUUAAAUGUUUUUAAUUUAUUUGCCAUCUUUUAAUUAGGGAUAUUUUUACUCAUCUGCUGUUUGUUGAUGUAUCCUAUGUAAUGAAUAAAAUUAUUUCAAACUGCCAUGACCCUACCUUCACAUUUGGGAAUAUAUCCCCCCUGUAAACAUUGAAAAUUUUCUAUACUCAUGUUUCCUUGUUAUUUGUUCAUCUAUCUUCUUCGCAAUGUGCUAUUUUUAUUCUCCUUUUGUAAUCUUGCUGUUUCCCUUGAACUAUCCCUUUUUUCUUUACUUCUCAAGGGUUCUGUUUUUUGCUUCCACUUUUAAUUAUAUUGCUUCUAGGCCGCCUUGGUAAAGAACUUGUGGUACUUGAAUGAUUUUCCCUUGUGGAAUAAUGACAUGUUCAUUGCCAUUUCUUAAAAAGAAAAUUGAUAAAAUGUUGUGGCUGAUCUAUCAAUAGCUUAACUGAUUUAGGUGGGAAAUGCAUUUCUAAAUAAAAUUUUAUGACGUGAAGGGAUCUGUCUGCAUGUUUUAAAACCAUUUAGCAAAUAAAGUUUCCCACUUUCACUGUCCUUACUCAGGGGAUCUGAGUUUAGGUUUGCAGCUAAUGCUUGGCUUCGUGGAUUAAUCUUUCAAAUAUUGCCUGACAUUUUAACGGAUUUUCUAAUAGAAUUCAGGAUAUGAAAUUUGUUGAUUUACUAUAGCAAACUUCUCUAAUUAAAAGUUUAAUGGUUUUUUGGUUUGCAGGACCUGCAAAGUGUUAUCGUCAGAUAAAAAAUAAGCCUUACCCAAAGUCACGGUAUUGCCGUGGUGUUCCUGAUCCAAAGAUCAGGAUUUAUGAUGUGGGGAUGAAAAGGAAAGGUGUGGAUGAGUUCCCUUUCUGUGUGCACCUGGUAUCUUGGGAGAAAGAAAACGUCUCUAGUGAAGCUCUGGAGGCUGCUCGAAUUGCUUGCAACAAAUAUAUGGCCAAGUUUGCUGGAAAGGAUGCUUUCCACUUGCGAGUCCGUGUUCACCCAUUCCAUGUCUUGCGUAUCAACAAGAUGCUUUCCUGUGCUGGAGCUGAUAGGCUUCAAACUGGUAUGCGAGGUGCUUUUGGCAAGCCACAGGGCACUUGUGCUAGAGUAGCCAUUGGUCAGGUUCUCCUUUCUGUUCGUUGCAAGGACAGCAACAGCCAUCAUGCACAGGAAGCCCUUCGCCGUGCAAAGUUCAAGUUCCCUGGUCGCCAAAAGAUUAUUGUCAGCAGGAAGUGGUAUGUAAUUCACUUGUCAUAACUGCUUUUGUUCUUUUACGGUUCCUUUUUAAAAUGAUUUCAUAAUUUUUAUCUUAUGGUAAUUAUUUGGCAUUCCUAGUGACUUGCUCUUUUCUAAUAUUCAGGGGUUUUACAAAGUUCAGCCGUACUGAUUAUUUGAAAUACAAGUCAGAGAAUCGGAUUGUUCCUGAUGGUGUUAAUGCUAAGGUUAGUCUUGGAUAUAUAUCUUACUACUUUUUGCCCUUCUUGGUGUUUUUUAUUAGGUUAUAAUGAGCUUAUUUUGCAUUGGGGGGCUUCUUGUUGGCAGGCAGGGAGUUUGUUAAUUAUAUCUUACAAUGAACUUAUAAGACUUGUUUUCGGCCUUGCAGCUUCUUGGAUGCCAUGGACCUCUGGCGAAUAGAGAACCAGGAAGAGCAUUCCCGUCUGCUACUGCUACUGCUUAAUAUCUUAAGUUGCUCAAAAUCUGAAAGUACUUGACCGAGUCUUAAUAGUGUUUUGAGGCUUUAUUUAUCAUUAAUGCUAGUGCAUGAUGAAAGAACUUUUGUUUUGUUGAAUAGAAUAAAUAGGCUUAUCCUUCAAACUUUAACUCAUGUCUUUGCUCAAAAAAUCUGAUAAUUGUUCUAUUACUUUCAUUAUACCGCGUUUCAAGUAACUCUACUUUUUUUUAAAGGUUAGCAAUCACUUGGCAAUGUUGUGUAUUUUGCAACUUUUAUAUGCAUGACGAGUAUUAAUUGUUUACGUUCUUGUAUAAUUCUCAGUUAUGUAUAUUUUGCUACUCUGUGGUCUAUACUCGGCUGUUGGGCAAUUAUUAUUUUGAUUAAAAUUAUGAUUCAAAAUUUAUAGUUUUUAAGGCUCUGGCCGUGUGUUUUGAUUCCUGGUCAUAAAAUCUGAUCUACUUGUGUAGACACUAAAUAAAAGAAUAGUUGUCCAAAGAAAUAAUAAUAGAAAACGACAUUUGGCUCAUAAUAUUAGUAUCUAAAAGCGUACAUUUCUGUGUUUUUCCACCCCCUUGUUCCUUUUGCCUCUAUUAGCUUCCAAUUGGUAUAACAUGAUGAUGGUGGCAAAUUGCCAAUGAUAAAAAGGAAGACAAAUGCCAAUGAUAAUAGUAGUUUGCUUCAUUUUUAAUAUAUUAAAUAAUUUUUUUAAAAAAAUAUUUUUAAAUUAUGAAUCUACCUUUAAACUGUUAAUUUUAUAUUUAUUUAGUUCAAGAAAACAUUAUGUACAUAAACCUUUUUAAAUUCAUGACUUUUAAAAGUAUAUUUCAAUAUCUUGUUAACUUAUUCAAAAAUUAAUUGCCUAAUAUUUUUAAAUUAUUAAAUUUUUUUGUUUUGGUGAAUAAAAUAUUAAAUAUAAUAUAAGUAGUUUUAGAGCAGUUUUUAGCAAAAAGUUACGACUGAUAAUGCGAGGAGAAUAUUAAUAAAAUAGCAUUCUUGCUCCAACUUCCUGCCAUGGUCGCGUGCAAAUAGGAGUAAUUUUUCAUCUUAUAUAUGUAUAUUUAUUUAAUACAUUCAUUUUACACACUUAUGUAAUAUAACAAAUAGAGUUAGUAAGUAAUAAUUGAUUGAUAUAAUAAAUAAACAAAUAAUAAUACGAUUUUAAUCUUUUUAAAAUUAUAAUACAUAAAUAUAUACCCAUGAUCAUAAAUAUUAAAACAAUGCUAAAUAAACAAAAUUCUUAAUGUGACUCUCAACAGGUUAAUAGAUUUUAAUUGCCACAAAAAAAAAAAACUUUAUAAUACCUUUUUAUUGGUUUUUCGCACCUAUGUCAUUCAUAUUUCAGAAUGUUAUUAAUUAAUAUAACUAAAUCCACCAGACUUAAUGCAUUCAUAUUAAAAACAGAGCUUAUAAAAUUAUUUGACUUUUUUAACAUCCACAAAGGUUCUUUAAAUUUUAAGAGGUCAAAAAUCCCUUUUUAACUUGUAUAACCAUCCAUCUCUACCUCAUGUUAUUACUGGUUUUUAAAAUUUUUGAAAGUUCAAAACCCCAUCUGAUUUCUAUAAACCAUCCGCCUCUGCUUAGCUCUUUUGUCAAGUACCGCAACAUCUGAUUCACUUAUCCAACCAAAUAUCAAAUUAAACUCAACAAAUUAAAAAUAUAAAAAUGUUAGCGAUUAUGCAUUCGUUAAUUAUUUGUUUGAUGUUUAUGAAUCUCAACAGAUGGAAGAGCACUUUGGUAUUGACUCAAUAAUAAGUAAAUCUUAUUUUUAUUCUUUGUUUGAUGUUUAUGAAAGAAUGCUUUGGCAUUUGACGGGAAGUAAAUCAUAUUUUUAUUCAAAGAGCUAAGUGAGAAUUUCUUAAAAGAGUUAAUGUCUCCAGCAAUGUUUAAAUUAAAAUAAAAUAUUUAUUAUGAUUUUUAAUAUGAUAUUUGAAUUAAUAUGAUAUUUAUCUUAAUCUAAUUAAUUUUAACUAAUUAUAUAUGAUAAGUUGACAAAUUUUUAUAUACGUAUUAAUUAAUAAAUUUAUAAUUAAAUAUUAUAUUAAAAUUUUUUAAAAUUUAAAAAUUAUAUUAAAUAUUUCACGUCAGUAUUAAUUUAAUAGGAGAGAAGAUUAUGCUAAGAUGGUGCUAGAAAAAAUCAAAUUUCCUACCGUUCAAGUAUUUAUAUUACUGAUAAUAAAAGAAAAAGGAAUUAAAAAUAUUCCUAAAGUCUGGUCCAACCCCGAACUCCCAUUAGUUGGGUCAAACAAGCAAACAGCAUUGGCCCAAUGGUGGUGGGCUGAAGAAAAGGGCAAAAAACAAAAAUGACGGCAUGACGUAAUCACACACGUAUGAGGACGUGUUGAACGUGUUAGUUUUAGCUAGGGUUUCUAACCUGACCGCCUUACCAUACUAUAAAUAGAGCUUUUCCUCUUUUUCUCUUUCAAUGUUCUAGGGUUUCCAUCAGUUUCAGUUGCAGCCGCAGAUUUUCAAAGAUCUACCGCCAUGGGGAGGAGUGAGUAUCUCUCUCCCGUAUUGUAUUUGAACGUAAUUGGAAAUCAAUGAUUGCCCAACUUUCUUUGGUUUCAUACUAGGGUUUAUAUGGUUGCUUAGAGAACAUCGAUGGAUGUUUAGUUUUUUCUUUUUUAAGAAUGAAUACUGAUGGUUUAUUUUUCUAUUUGGUCUGUUACAUCUUUGAUUGGAUGUGCCAAAACAAUGAGACUGGUGAUUUUAUGUGUUUAAAUUAGAAAUAUAUGCCUGCUUUUACUUUUACCUCUGCAAUCUUGCAAUACCACACCAAUAUCUCUCCUUUUUUCAUUUUAGGUCUUGUGGGUGAAAUCUUAAUGAGAUGAUGGUAUCGCUGAAUUCUGUGACUAAAUGGAUGGAUUGUCUGCAGUUAAAUGUUUUAAAUUCAUUUGCCAUCUCUUAAUUAGGGAUAUUUUGGCUCAUCUGCUGUUUGUUGAUGUAUCCGAUGUGAUGAAUCAAAUUAUUUCAAACUGCCAUGACCCAACCUCCGCAUUUGCGAAGAUGUCCCCCCUGUAGACAUUGGAAAUUUUCUAUACUUGCGUUUCCUUUUUAUUUGUUCGUUUAUCUUCUCAAUAUACAUUUUUUAUUUUCCUUUUGUAAUUGUGCCUGUUUCCCUUGAACUAUACUUUCUUUCUUUACUUCUCAAGUGUUCUGUUUUUCUGCUUCUGUUUUUCUGCAUCCGCUUUAAUUAUGUUGCUUCUAGGUCUGCCUUAAAGAACUGGCUGUACUUAAAUGAUUUUCCCUUGUGGAAUAAUGAUAUUUUCAUCACAAUUUCUUGAAAAGAAAAUUGAUAAAUUGUUGUGGCUGAUCUAUCAAUAACUUAAUUGAUUUAGAUGGGAAAUGCAUUUCAAAAUAAAAUUUUGUGAUGUGAAGGGAUCUGUUUUGUGUUUUAAAUCCAUUUAGUAAAUGAAAGUUUCACACUUUCACUGUCCUUUCUGCUAAUGCUUGGCAUUGUGGAUUAAUCUUUCGAAUAUUGCCUGCCAUUAAACCACUUAAUGGAAUUUUUUUAACAGAGUUGUGGGUAUGAAAUUUGUUGAUUUACUAUAUUAAACUUCACUAAUUAAAAUUCUAAUGGUUUGUUGGUUUUCAGGACCUGCAAGGUGUUAUCGUCAGAUUAAAAACAAGCCUUACCCAAAGUCACGUUAUUGCCGUGGUGUACCUGAUCCAAAGAUCAGGAUUUAUGAUGUGGGGAUGAAAAGGAAAGGUGUGGAUGAGUUCCCUUUCUGUGUGCACCUGGUAUCUUGGGAGAAAGAAAACGUCUCUAGUGAGGCGUUGGAGGCUGCUCGAAUUGCUUGCAACAAAUAUAUGGCCAAGUUUGCAGGAAAGGAUGCCUUCCACUUGCGAGUCCGUGUUCACCCAUUCCAUGUCUUGCGUAUCAACAAGAUGCUUUCCUGUGCUGGAGCUGAUAGGCUUCAAACUGGUAUGCGAGGUGCUUUUGGCAAGCCACAGGGUACUUGUGCUAGAGUAGCCAUUGGUCAGGUUCUCCUUUCUGUUCGUUGCAAGGACAGCAACAGCCAUCACGCACAAGAGGCCCUCCGCCGCGCUAAGUUCAAGUUCCCUGGACGCCAAAAGAUUAUUGUCAGCAGGAAGUGGUAUGUAAUUCACUUGUCAUAACUGCAUUUAUUCUUUUACGAAUCCUUCUUUUUAAAAUGAUUUCAUGCUCUUUUAUCUUAUGGUAAUUAUUUGGCAUUCCUAGUGACUGGCUCUUUUCUAAUAUUCAGGGGUUUUACAAAGUUCAGCCGUACUGAUUAUUUGAAAUACAAGUCAGAGAAUCGGAUUGUUCCUGAUGGUGUUAAUGCUAAGGUUUGUCUUGGAAGUUAAAUCUGACUACUUUUUCCCCUUGGUGUUGUCUAUUGGGUUGUAAUGAGCUUAUUGGGCUUCUUGUUGGCAGGCAGAGAGUUUUUUAAUUAUAUCUUACAAUGAACUUAUAGUACUUGUUUUCGGCCUUGCAGCUUCUUGGAUGCCAUGGACCUCUUGCGGAUAGGGAACCGGGAAGAGCAUUCCCGCCUGCUGCUGCUUAAGAUCUUAAGUUGCUCUAAAUCUGGAAGUACUUGGCCGAGUCUUAAUUGUGUUUUGAGGCUUUAUUUAUC